rnacentral:piRNA from 1 species
UCUAGACUGAAUUGAGUGGCCAGAGC